rnacentral:misc_RNA from 1 species
GAUGAAGAACGUAGCGAAAUGCGAUACUUGGUGUGAAUUGCAGAAUCCCGUGAACCAUCGAGUCUUUGAACGCAAGUUGCGCCCGAAGCCAUUAGGCCGAGGGCACGCCUGCCUGGGCGUCACACGUCGUUGCCCCCCCAUCUACUCCUUCGGGAUUGCGGGGGGCGGAUGAUGGCCUCUCGUGCGCCUCGUCGCGCGGUUGGCCUAAAUGCCAAGUCCUCGGCGACGCACGCCACGACAAUCGGUGGUUGCGAAACCUCGGUUGCCUGUCGUGUGCGGUCGUCGCGCAUCGAGGGCUCGAAAAAAUUGCCGGGCUUCGGCUCGACUUUCAACGCGACCCCAGGUCAGGCGGGGUUAGCCGCUGAAUUUAAGCAUAUCAAUAAGCGGAGGA